rnacentral:misc_RNA from 1 species
CCAUUCAAUUCCUAGGCCGUUUAGCACAAGAUCCCGCCCCGCCUCUCGCUCUCUUCUUUUAUCUGCCUCCAAAUUCUCCAUUGAAGCUCACGGAGCUCUCAAUCACCCAGAACAGAGACGAUUCUUCUCUCAUUUUUUAUUUCUUGUCCGGAUUCAAAGUAGUCUGUGCCUAAAACAAUCUUCAAAAGCAGAUCUAUGGACUUUGAGCAAUAUUUUUCCCAGGAAUGGAAAUCAGUCGCUAGUGCAGCAACCGGCUCAGAUGGUGGUUGCUUUGAUUGCAAUAUCUGCUUUGACUUUGCACAGGAGCCAGUAGUCACCCUUUGUGGACAUCUGUACUGCUGGCCUUGUAUCUACAAAUGGCUCCAUGUCCAGAGUGCCUCUAUUGCUUCUGAUGAGCACCCACAAUGUCCAGUCUGCAAGGCAGAUAUAUCUCACGCUUCUAUGGUCCCCCUUUAUGGCCGUGGCCAACCACCAGCUGAAGCUGAGGUUGAGGGGAAAGCACCCUAUCGGAGCAUGGUCAUACCUCCUAGGCCAUCAGCUUGUGGUGCUCAAGCUUUGGUAUCCAGUACACCUCAAACUGGUCAGCAGCUUCCUUACCGAAAUCCUUAUCAAAAUCAUAACUACACUCCUGAUUCAUACAGCAGUUUUGAAGGGGCUUCUUCAUCACCUCUACUUAAUCUUGGAGGCACUACAGUGACUGGUUUUCACCAGCCAUUUGUUGGGAUGUUUGGUGAGAUGGUUUAUGCAAGAGUUUUUGGAAACUCAGAGAGCUUGUACACAUAUCCAAAUUCAUAUCACUUAGUGGGAAGUAGUAGCCCCAGGUUGAGAAGGCAGGAGAUGCAGGCUGACAAAUCAUUGAACAGAAUCUCAAUUUUCCUCUUCUGCUGCUUUCUUUU